rnacentral:misc_RNA from 1 species
AAAAAAAAAAUAAAGAAUAACAAUAAAUGAUAAUACCAAGAAAAGCUAAAAAAAUCAAUUAAACAAGGGUCUCUAGCAACCGUGACGAUGAUCAGUAAUCCCAGUCGCAUUUGGUAGUCUCGAUAGGAGCCACAGUACCAUUUGUGCUCAAAGGUACCUUCAAGUCGCACUCGAUCUUGGGCUUGAACUUGCCAACCUUGAUCUUACCAAUCUUGAAUCUAAUCUUCAAAUACAGCUUCACAUCGAUGCUAUAAACCCCAGAAGUCUUUUCUUGAUUAAACUUUGUAAGCUCUUCACCAGCAAGAGCAGGUAUCACUUGCUUACCUUCGAAUGCAGGGGUAAGAAUGCUAGUGUUCUUGUGUCCUUGAUAAAAUGGAGCCAAGCUAUCGUAACCGAACCUCUGGUCCUCGUAAAAAGCUUUGGCUUCUAUUCUAUCAUAGUAGAUACCAAUCUUCUUAUUAGGGUUCCGGACUGAGAUUGUCAUGGAUAGGUUAUAGUAGAGAGUAUUGUUAUUGGUGGCAUAAUCGAACUCAGAGAGAGUAGCUUCUGUGACGUGAAACUUGACCUUGUUAGGGCGAA